rnacentral:rRNA from 1 species
CGGUUUGGUGGCCAUAGCACAAGCGAAACACCCGGUCCCAUCCCGAACCCGGCCGUUAAGCGCUGUCGCGCCAAUGGUACUGCGUCUCAAGACGUGGGAGAGUAGGUCGCUGCCAAACCU